CUUGGAAGAUUUUUGUCAGCGAAUAAAGCGGUUGGGUCUAAAGGGUUUAAAGCAGUUUGGACCGAAGUUAAAGAAGUUGGUACGAGCUGCAGGGACCUAUUUUGUGCAAACAGUGGAUUUUGUAUUUCGCCCGACCUCAAGUGCAACGAUAUCUCCAACUGUGGUCUCAACGAUUAUUCUGACGAAACGAACUGUAAGGACCGCCCCUCAACCCUCGCAUAGCGAAGUGGUGUCAGGACUGUUGAAGUUAAAAAGGGUCUAAUCAUAGGAAUAAGUGUUGGAGUGGCUUUGCUUUCCGUGUCAGUUUUAUGUGUUGUGUGUCAUAGAAAAAAAAGGAGAAGAAGAAGAAGAAGACGGCGCAAUUCGGUUCCUCCAUUUGAACGCCCUCCACAACCGCCAAGAGAAGUUCCUGGCAUGCAUUUUGUUUGUGUAGAUAGUGUUUGACGUCAUCUACGAUUUCUCCGAACAUUUACUUGCUGUACAGCAGCCCGAAAAGGUGGCACGAACAGGUACUACUACAACCAGAGUUUCUAUGGAAUGGGAGAGAGAGUUUGAGAUAUAUUAAAACAAUGCUUACUUGCAGAAUACGGUUGAGUAAAGUGUACAUUUUCCUGAAGUAGAGUGACCACUGGCGGGUCGAUUAAACUCUUUCCGUUUUGAUUUUCUCACGUAAAAUCCCUCCUUUCGUCGUAUACCAGCGUAUCCCAUAGCUUAGACAUUGUGCCAGUAAUGACGUAAUUGUAUUAUAACUAUUUCAUUACGAAUUAGAAAUUUUGGAAACGAUAUACGAAGAGGGUUUUAAGAUCAGAUUCAUAUGUCAUUUAAAAAUAAAUCACGAAAUUUAUUGCAAAAAAUAAAGGUAAAUAUUAUGAUCAUAUAUACACGAUUGCUGCGAAUUGAAGGCAAAUUUUGGGCACUUAUAAAAUAUUUGCAAAGUUAAACGUCAAUGAGACAUGUUUUCUGUAAGUGAUGUUAAAAAUUACAAAUAUUUAAUAUAUAAACGUUUCAUUUUGUUGACUGUUUUUAAAUUUCAAUAUCGAAAUUUAAAAGCAAUCUAAAUUUUCAGUUUAAAAUUCUAAGCAAUACUUUCAGUCAAUGUAAUUAUGAUAUUUUAGAAUAAUACAUUAAAAAUUUUGAAAAAGCAA